UACAGUAUACCACUACUAGGUUAUAUACAGUAUGCCACUACUAGGUUAUACACAGUAUGCCACUACUAGGUUAUACACAGUAUGCCACUACUAGGUUAUAUACAGUAUACCACUACUAGGUUAUAUACAGUAUACCACUACUAGGUUAUAUACAGUAUACCACUACUAGGUUAUAUACAGUAUACCACUACUAGGUUAUAUACAGUAUACCACUACUAGGUUAUAUACAGUAUGCCACUACUAGGUUAUAUACAGUGUGUGUACUAUACAGCAUACCACUAGGUUAUAUACAGUAUGCCACUACUAGGUUAUAUACAGUAUGCCAUUACUAGGUUAUAUUCAGUAUGCCACUACUAGGUUAUAUACAGUGUGUGUACUAUACAGCAUACCACUAGGUUAUAUACAGUAUGUGUACUAUACAGUAUACCACUACUAGGUGAUAUACAGUAUACCACUACUAG